UUCAUGAGCCUCUGGAAUGUGCUCGGCGC
rnacentral:sRNA from 1 species